rnacentral:lncRNA from 13 species
AUGGCAGUUUACUAUGUGAAGAGUCACUGCCUAUCUUGCAUGUGAUGUAAUAAUAAUAACACAUUGGAGUGUCUUUUUGUUUAUGAGGAAAAGUUAGGUGUUUUAUUUCCCCCCCAAAACAACACCAAACAAAUGCUAUCUUUUUACAAAAUAAAAAAAAUACUAUUCUGUGUGUGACUUCAUUUUGUAAACAUGUGGUUUAUUAGGUAUACUCUGGUAAACAAUAUUGUCAUGUCAAAUAUAUUACUAGUGAAUAUAACAUACAAUUCUUAAAAUGAAUAAACCAAUAGCCGAAUAAUUGGCUAAUUGUACUGACUAAUUCGUGCAAAGUCAAUCAAAUCAUGUGUCACAACAUUGAUGUAAAAAUUACCUGUUAAAUUCAUGUUAUCUUUCUCUGAUGCGUCAGGAAUUUGGAGAGUUAAGGGUUUAUAACUAGUGCGUGUUUUGGCAACUGGGAAGUUUCCGUCUUGGAAUUCCGAGUUGGAUUUUUCCCAGUCGGAGUUAAUUUUUCCCCGAGUCCCAGUUAAUUUUUCCCCGAGUCCCAGUUGUCUUGAAUACCCUGAAGUUGGACAUUUCCGAGUUCACAGUUGUUUUGAACGAGGCAUAUGGAUUGGGCACACCUUUCUCACCUGGGACACUCGGAUUUCGACGACGGAGUGACGUAGUGCUACGAUAUGACAAAUGGGGAGGAAGCAAAAAAAAAGUCAGUCUUCUUUCACGCUGGCCACGUCCCUGGGUUAUCCACGGGUUUCAGCAGCCAAUCAGUGAUGAGCAAUCUGGACAAGUCUCCUUCUGGAGGAUUCAAGGCCGGACACUCACGGAACGACAGCGCUGGGUCAUCACGCAACUCCCGCCAGGUAGUUUCUGAGCCGUUUCUUUUUAUUAAAAGUGCGAGUGGGGUGUGCCUGGCUUUUGUAUAUGACGGGUCUCCUCUUUACACUAUAAUGCAACCAAUGAUGUAUAUAACCAUCAUGAAUAUCUCUAUGGAUGGAUGGCUGAAUGGAUGAAACCCACUUUGUGAGUAUUAAGUUCUUUAUGGACAAUGCAACAUUUUUAUUUUAUUUAAACCUUUAUUUAAUUAGGCAAGUCAGUUAAGAACAAAUUCUUAUUUUACAAUGACGGCCUACCCCGGCCAAACCCUCCCCUAACCCGGACGACGCUGGGCCAAUUGUGUGCUGCCCUAUGGGACUCACGAUCACGGCCGGUUGUGAUACAGCCCGGGAUCGAACCAGGGUCUGUAGUGGUGCCUCUAGUAGCACUGAGAUGCUGGGCCUUAGAUCGCUGUGCCACUUGGGAGCCAAACUAAU